UACGGAGGAUCCGAGCGUUAUCCGGAUUUAUUGGGUUUAAAGGGUGCGCAGGCGGGAGAUUAAGUCGGCGGUGAAAUUUUGCAGCUCAACUGUAAAAGUGCCUUCGAAACUGGUUUCCUUGAGUGUAGAUGAAGUAGGCGGAAUUUGUGGUGUAGCGGUGAAAUGCAUAGAUAUCACACAGAAUAUCGAUUGCGAAGGCAGCUCACAAAGCCAAGAUUGACGCUGAGGCACGAAAGUGUGGGGAUCAAACAGGAUUAGA
rnacentral:rRNA from 1 species